rnacentral:rRNA from 1 species
UACGAAGGGGGCUAGCGUUGCUCGGAAUUACUGGGCGUAAAGGGCGCGUAGGCGGCUCUGUUAGUCAGGCGUGAAAUUCCUGGGCUCAACCUGGGGACUGCGCUUGAUACGGCAGGGCUUGAGGGCAGGAGAGGCUCGCGGAAUUCCCAGUGUAGAGGUGAAAUUCGUAGAUAUUGGGAAGAACACCGGUGGCGAAGGCGGCUCACUGGCCCGGUACUGACGCUGAGGUGCGAAAGCGUGGGGAGCAAACAGG